CUCGGAGCUGGCCUCGGACUGCUGGGGCGUUACCCCUUCGGCCACCCCCGCUGACCAUGGCAGUGUUUCAUGACGAGGUGGAAAUCGAGGACUUCCAAUAUGACGAGGACUCGGAGACGUAUUUCUAUCCCUGCCCAUGUGGAGAUAACUUCUCCAUCACCAAGAUUUGGAGAAUGGGGAAGACGUGGCAACGUGUCCUAGCUGCUCUCUCAUUAUAAAAGUGAUUUAUGACAAAGAUCAGUUUGUGUGUGGAGAAACAGUCCCAGCCCCUUCAGCCAACAAAGAAUUAGUUAAAUGCUGAAGAAGCCUUCAGGAAUCCAAAUCCUGAACAUUUGGAAUGAGCCCAGAUAGAAAUAUCGAAUGCAAAGCUACUGGCUUCACAGAGACAACCAUUUAUGAUUUGCUGUUCUGUAAGAGUGUGGAUUCUUUCUAUCAACUGCUGAUAUCAUCUUCAGGAAGCAAGUCCAUAACAUGACAUAUCUGGAUUUUGUGCUUAGAACCUUAAAUUGGAAGCAUUCUUAAUUAUGCAUCUAAAUUUAAAAGAAGAUAAUUUCAAAACAGUGCUUUCUUUCCCUUGGUUUCAUCAUUUUCAUAUCUUAAACCAAAUUACUUCGGUAUCUGACAACAGCAUCAUCUACCUCAGUCAUUAGGAUUUCUUAAUAAAAAAGAGAUUGUAUUUUUGACUUGGUUAUUAAGAUUAUUAAAAUUAGCCCUUCCUUUGAAAUAUGACAUCAGCUUUGCUGUUCUAAAUUUAAAAUUAGUUGCUUCAUCAGUACCACACUUCCAGUUUCUAUACCAAGCCAGUCUCCUCAGUUUUCCCAUUAGAAUGGACAUGUUCUGUUCAGCGUGUCAUUUCUGUAAUGCUUCAUGCAGAGAGUUUGGUCAUAGUAUUAAAGAGAAAAUACAGUGAGGUCACAAUGUCUCCAGAGCUAAAAGUUAGUGAACAAGAAAGAAAGUCCAAAAUGAAGUGAUGAAAGAAUGAGGACUUUUCUUAUAUUCUGCAUAUUCCUUGGAAGUCAGGAC
rnacentral:lncRNA from 1 species